rnacentral:rRNA from 1 species
UAAUACCGUAUACGCCCUUCGGGGGAAAGCAGGGGAUCUUCGGACCUUGCGCUAUUGGAUGUGCCUAUGUCGGAUUAGCUAGUUGGUGGGGUAAGAGCCUACCAAGGCGACGAUCCGUAGCUGGUCUGAGAGGAUGAUCAGCCACAUCGGGACUGAGACACGGCCCGAACUCCUACGGGAGGCAGCAGUGGGGAAUAUUGGACAAUGGGGGCAACCCUGAUCCAGCCAUGCCGCGUGUGUGAAGAAGGCUUUCGGGUUGUAAAGCACUUUCAGUGAGGAGGAAAACCUUACGACUAAUACUCGUGAGGCUUGACGUUACUCACAGAAGAAGCACCGGCUAACUCCGUGCCAGCAGCCGCGGUAAUGCGGAGGGUGCAAGCGUUAAUCGGAAUUACUGGGCGUAAAGCGCGCGUAGGUGGUUUGAUAAGCGAGAUGUGAAAGCCCCGGGCUCAACCUGGGAACGGCAUUUCGAACUGUCAGGCUAGAGUAUGGUAGAGGAGUGUGGAAUUUCCUGUGUAGCGGUGAAAUGCGUAGAUAUAGGAAGGAACACCAGUGGCGAAGGCGGCACUCUGGACCAAUACUGACACUGAGGUGCGAAAGCGUGGGGAGCAAACAGGAUUAGAUACCCUGGUAGUCCACGCUGUAAACGAUGUCAACUAGCCGUUGGGACUCUUGAAGUCUUAGUGGCGCAGCUAACGCACUAAGUUGACCGCCUGGGGAGUACGGCCGCAAGGUUAAAACUCAAAUGAAUUGACGGGGGCCCGCACAAGCGGUGGAGCAUGUGGUCUAAUUCGACGCAACGCGAAGAACCUUACCUGGCCUUGACAUGCAGAGAACUUUCCAGAGAUGGAUUGGUGCCUUCGGGAACUCUGACACAGGUGCUGCAUGGCCGUCGUCAGCUCGUGUCGUGAGAUGUUGGGUUAAGUCCCGUAACGAGCGCAACCCCUAUCCCUAGUUGCUAGCAGUUCGGCUGAGAACUCUAGGGAGACUGCCGGUGACAAACCGGAGGAAGGUGGGGAUGACGUCAGGUCAUCAUGGCCCUUACGGCCAGGGCUACACACGUGCUACAAUGGUGCGUACAGAGGGCUGCAAACCCGCGAGGGGGAGCUAAUCUCACAAAACGCAUCGUAGUCCGGAUCGGAGUCUGCAACUCGACUCCGUGAAGUCGGAAUCGCUAGUAAUCGCGAAUCAGAAUGUCGCGGUGAAUACGUUCCCGGGCCUUGUACACACCGCCCGUCACACCAU